rnacentral:SRP_RNA from 1 species
GCCUGGCACAUUGGCAUGUGCCUGUAGUCCCAGCUUCUCAGGAGGCUGAGGCUGGAGGAUCGCUUGAGUUCAGGAGUUCUGGGAUGUAGUGUGCUAUGCCAAUCGGGUGUCCACACUAAGUUCGGCAUCAAUAUGGUGACCUCCUGGGAGUAGGAGACCACCAGGUUGCCUGAGGAGGGGUGAACCGGCCCAGAUUGGAAACGGAGCAGGUCAAAACUCCUGUGCUGAUCAGUAGUGAGAUCAUGCCUGUGAAUAGCCACUGCACUCCAGCCUGGGCAAUGUAGCGAGACCCCGUCCCC